rnacentral:rRNA from 1 species
AACGCGAAGAACCUUACCUACCCUUGACAUACAGUGGAUUUUGCAGAGAUGCAGAAGUGCCUUCGGGAACACUGCUACAGGUGCUGCAUGGCUGUCGUCAGCUCGUGUCGUGAGAUGUUGGGUUAAGUCCCGUAACGAGCGCAACCCUUGUCCUUAGUUGCCAGCGCGUAAAGGCGGGAACUCUAAGGAGACUGCCGGUGACAAACCGGAGGAAGGCGGGGACGACGUCAAGUCAUCAUGGCCCUUACGGGUAGGGCUACACACGUGCUACAAUGGCUGGUACAGAGGGAAGCGAAGGGGAGACCUGGAGCGGAUCCUUGAAAGCUGGUCGUAGUCCGGAUUGAAGUCUGCAACUCGACUUCAUGAAGUCGGAAUCGCUAGUAAUCGCGAAUCAGCAUGUCGCGGUGAAUACGUUCCCGGGCCUUGUACACACCGACUGUAC